rnacentral:rRNA from 1 species
GUUAAGCGACUAAGCGUACACGGUGGAUGCCCUGGCAGUCAGAGGCGAUGAAGGACGUGCUAAUCUGCGAUAAGCGUCGGUAAGGUGAUAUGAACCGUUAUAACCGGCGAUUUCCGAAUGGGGAAACCCAGUGUGUUUCGACACACUAUCAUUAACUGAAUCCAUAGGUUAAUGAGGCGAACCGGGGGAACUGAAACAUCUAAGUACCCCGAGGAAAAGAAAUCAACCGAGAUUCCCCCAGUAGCGGCGAGCGAACGGGGAGCAGCCCAGAGCCUGAAUCAGUGUGUGUGUUAGUGGAAGCGUCUGGAAAGGCGCGCGAUACAGG